AGCAGCCGCGGUAAUUCCAGCUCCAAUAGCGUAUAUUAAAGUUGUUGCAGUUAAAAAGCUCGUAGUUGAAUUUCGGGAUCAAUACGCCUGUCGUGCCUUCGGUACGUACGGGUGUAUUUGGUCUCUACCUUCUGAGGAUCCUUGAUGUUAUUAAUUUGGUGUCUUGGGGAAUCAGGACUGUUACCUUGAAAAAAUUAGAGUGUUUAAAGCAGGCAUACGCUUGAAUACAUUAGCAUGGAAUAAUGAAAUAGGACGUUCGAUUCUAUUUUGUUGGUUUCUAGGAUCGACGUAAUGAUUAAUAGGGAUAGUUGGGGGCAUUAGUAUUCAAUUGUCAGAGGUGAAAUUCUUGGAUUUAUUGAAGACUAACUACUGCGAAAGCAUUUGCCAAGGAUGUUUUCAUUAAUCAAGAACGAAAUUAGGGGAUCGAAGACGAUCAGAUACCGUCGUAGU
rnacentral:rRNA from 1 species